CGACCGUUCUCGCGCGAUACAAUAGAGCUGAUAGCAGAAAGCUAGAGUGCGCGCCAGAUGUCACGUGGUGCCGGUUCGCGUACAGUGUCCGUCGCGAGCACACGAUUCCCUGGACGAUUUAUCAGAGUUCACGGGAAACGACGGUGGUGAACGAUAGUUGACGAGAGGCUCGUUUCGAUAGGGAAAGCAAUUGUGCCUGACAAUGAGGUAUAUAUGUACCCGAUUAGAAAAUUAAACUAGUGCGUCUGUUCGUAACGAACCGCGAGAUCGAAAGUGCUCGAUAGGUGAAUCUUUUGAGAGUGCAUCAAGCCCCAAAGCGGAUGUAGCGAAGAAAGUGGUUGCAGCCAGUGCAUGGUCAAACGUCACGUUUGGUCGCCAAACUUGAGAUACAAGGGUUUCCCCAGCGGGCGAUAUAGUGAUUAGUGGUAAAUAAAAAGUUAACGAAAAACGAUUGACACCUUCGAUGAGAGUUAUGUGACGAUCGAGCAGAUGUCAGGUGUCGUCGGUUACGUCGAGUCGAAGUCACGAUAUUCCGCACCCUGGUAUUCCAACAUCGACGUGGCACUCAUGGGAAUUCAAAGCACCGCUCAGUUCGUCGAGAAGUACCACCAUAUUAUCGAAUUCAUAUUCUGCCGAGCCAGAAGCCCUGAACUAUUGAGCAGCGCUAUCAAGGAUAUUGGGAUGAAAGGAUGUUGGAUGACUACAUUUGGUUCUUCAUCAGAGAAACGUACCCAACGAAUAACAGAAGACAAAGCAAAGGCCGAAAUUAUUUCUAAUCGAAAUUAAUUAAAAAAAGUGUUUCCUAUGUAAAUAGGAAAAAGAUACAGAAACAGAGUGUAACAGCUGAGGUUACUAAAAUGAUUGCGCGUAAGUUCAAUAUUUGUAUAUAUAUUUUAAUAAACAUGUAAAUUAAAAUUUUUACAAAGUAAAGCACGCAAAGAGUAUUUCUAGACUCGGAGUCCCGUAAAUAGCGAGCGAUUGACUGUCCUUCCGCAAAUUCCACUACCUUUAUAGUAUUCUUCGGAAAGGUAACGCCUUUACUGGGGGUGGAAUUUGUCACCGCCUUAAUUUGGCGGGGAUGGUCGAUGAGUUUUCGGGACUGGGAAAGGUGGUUGUCACAUGUAGGCAAUAAGGUCAUUUCGGGACCGCGCUACUCGCGCGGAAAGACCUUGGCGGUAUAUGGCAGGCAGAAGUUGUAAAGAAGGACACAUUUUACGGAAACGGUUUCUUAAGAAUGUUAAAAUAAUUUGCCGUCUUGCAAAUGCCAGGUAGGUUUUAUUACCUUAAAAUCUAACAUCUGCAACCGGUCAGUUUUACCCACGCGCAUCUGCAAACCAUAUACCGCUACACAGUGUAAAAUUGGAAUUUUUGUACCUUUACUCAAUUGUUCCUAAUUCCAGUAUUUAUCCACAGAUUUUCUUCAACAAAAGCUUGUUUUCUUCGUGUGAUUUAUAUGUAAACAAUAAGAAACUGGACAAUUCCUAUACAAUUUCUAUAUUUUCAUGGCGAUGGAAGAAAUAUUCGUGUUCUAUAUUAUCUGAAAAAAAUCAAAGUUUCUCAUAUAUAUUGGCUCGUAACACUUAAACUAUUGAACGUAGUGGAAAAUAAUGGAAAAAUCAAUGGUUGGAAAUUCGAUUACCUUUAAAAUGGCGUCC